rnacentral:rRNA from 1 species
GAUGAACGCUGGCGGCGUGCCUAAUACAUGCAAGUCGAGCGAAUUGACAGAGGUGCUUGCACCUCUCGAUUUUAGCGGCGGACGGGUGAGUAACACGUGGGUAACCUACCUAUAAGACUGGGAUAACUUCGGGAAACCGGAGCUAAUACCGGAUAAUAUUUAGCUUCGCAUGAAGCAAUAGUGAAAGACGGUUCUGCUGUCACUUAUAGAUUGCCCUGCGGUGUAUUAGCUAGUUGGUGAGGUAACGGCUCACCAAGGCAACGAUACAUAGCCGACCUGAGAGGGUGAUCGGCCACACUGGGACUGAGACACGGCCCAGACUCCUACGGGAGGCAGCAGUAGGGAAUCUUCCGCAAGGACGAAAGUCUGACGGAGCAACGCCGCGUGAGUGAAGAAGGUUUUCGGAUCGUAAAACUCUGUUGUAAGGGAAGAACAAGUACGUUAGUAACUGAACGUACCUUGACGGUACCUUACCAGAAAGCCACGGCUAACUACGUGCCAGCCGCCGCUGUAACAC